rnacentral:lncRNA from 1 species
GUUGGUGCAAAAAUCCGCCUGCGCCGGAGAAGCUGGAGUUGAGGAGGCCGCGGUCGCCGUCGGGACCUGCAAGGGAAGUCUAAACCGGAGGUGGGGUUGCUCUGGCAAGACCCUCCGACGCUCAAGUCAGUUCUCUGCCUCAACAAGAAUGGAGUGCUCGAACGGAGAAUUUAGCAGAGUUUUGAGAUAAGAGAAAUGAGCUUAAAAAAAUAACGUAUCUGAGUCCCCCCGUUUUAUACGCGGGGGAGGCAACGGACUGAUGGCGACGUGUGUAACCGUCUGGUAGUGGGCCGCCCACGGUCAGGGAAAUUAAUUAUGGAGAGUGGUGGGGUAGACUCGUGGCUGUUGUCAUAGUCUGCCACGUAUGGCCUGUUGCGGAUAGUGGGGCGACGUCCGUUGCCGCUAGCUGUCAGUGAGUAGUGGGAUCGUGCAGCACCUGCCACAGGGAGUGGGACAGAAUCAUGGCCGUUUGCUACAGCCUGUCAGGGAGUAAUGGGUCCGUUGCUGGAGCCGCGUAGAAUCCGCUGUAGGACCUGGAACAGGAUCAUGAUUGUUGUCGCGAUCU